AUGCAAAGUAUGGUGUGUGUGAAUGGUCAGUAACAAGGGUUGAAGCCUUGACGUGGCGUUACUGCUCACAUGUGUAUUCAUGUGCCAAUUCAACCAAUGUGAGUCACUGUAAUACUUAUAAGGUAACCAAAAGUACUGUGAUUGUGGAGAAUGAAACACCUGUAUCACCUACACGCUGUUUACACUGUGACCGUAUCUCCUACACACUGCUUACACUGUGACCGUAUCUCCUACACACUGCUUACACUGUGACCGUAUCUCCUUAACACUGCUUACAUUGUGACCGUAUCUCCUACACACUGCUUACACUGUGACCGUAUCUCCUACACACUGCUUACACUGUAACCGUAUCUCCUAAACACUGCUCAUACUGUGACCGUAUCUCCUAAACACUGCUUACAUUGUGACCGUAUCUCCUACACACUGCUUACACUGUGA